rnacentral:rRNA from 1 species
ACGGAAGGCAGCAGUGGGGAAUAUUGGGCAAUGGGCGAAAGCCUGACCCAGCAACGCCGCGUGAAGGAAGAAGGCCUUCGGGUUGUAAACUUCUUUUAUCAGGGACGAAGAACGUGACGGUACCUGAUGAAUAAGCCACGGCUAACUACGUGCCAGCAGCCGCGGUAAUACGUAGGUGGCAAGCGUUAUCCGGAUUUACUGGGUGUAAAGGGCGCGUAGGCGGGGAUGCAAGUCAGAUGUGAAAUCCACGGGCUCAACUCGUGAACUGCAUUUGAAACUGCUGAUCUUGAGUAUCGGAGAGGCAAUCGGAAUUCCUAGUGUAGCGGUGAAAUGCGUAGAUAUUAGGAGGAACACCAGUGGCGAAGGCGGAUUGCUGGACGACAACUGACGGUGAGGCGCGAAAGCGUGGGGAGCAAACAGGAUUAGAUACCCUGGUA